UAAGAGGCUUUGUCUUCGCAGAAGGGUUUGUACUUGAAAAGAGAAUGCUGGGGACCCACAGAGGGGUGGAACUCCAGAGAUGAGACUGUGUGAAGGAAGGGGUAUUUAGGAACAGACUACUCUCCUCUAGGGGUCUGCCCCCUGGGCCAGCGCUGCUGAGCUGGCCUCGCCGUGGGCAACACCCUUACUUUCCCCUCCCAAUUUUCAUUUCAUAGUGUCUUCAUUGUUUGCAAGGAUGCAGAGCAAGGGAAGGAAAACAAUGCCAGGGAGGUUUUGCACGUAGAGGGUUAAUAAACCAAAGACUGCUGGGCCUCCCGGAAGCCCAUUGAACGUAGUAGCUAUUUCUGAACCUUUGCUCUGUGCUGGGCACUCUCACACAUUCUCAUCUACGUACCACCCUUGUAAAAAUGCGUGCCAUCAUCACCACCUCACAGGUGAGGAAUCAGACUCUCAGAGGCAUCAGGCAGCGUGUCCAAGGUCGCACAGUGACUACACAGCAGAGCCAGAAUUUGGACCCAGAAUCGUCCUGACUCCAGUGGUUGCAUUCUUAAGGGCAGUCGUGUUGGCCUUUUCCUGGCUUUUUGAUGACUACUGUAACUGCAUUCUGAGGAGGAUCCUCUGUGCAAGAAAUUACCUGGAUAUUCUAUAUGAGUACUUUUCCAGAUAAAUUCUACUUCUUUCAGCUUUCCUAACUCCUCAGAGAAAGCUACCUGCAGCUGGAGAGAAUGAGGCCAAACGAGAAAGAGAAGCAGGGCCAGGCUGUGGCCAACUAGUCGGGACCGGCUGCUCAGCCUCUGGUUUCCAGCCAGGCCUAAAGCAAAGGUCUACGCGGACCUUCCAGGCUAGAUUUCUAGAAGUAACCCAGGGAGGACACCCGUAUGCAAGGCUCUCAUUACACACUGACGGACAGUCUUCCAGGAAGAUUCAACCAGCGGAUGUUCUCUCGCCCUUAAUGAAUGACAGUUUUCUUCUUACCUUUACUGGUUGAACCCUCCAACUCUUGCCAGAAUUACACAUUAUCUUAA